rnacentral:rRNA from 1 species
GACGGUGGAUGCAAGCGUUAACCGGAAUCACUGGGCGUAAAGCGUCUGUAGGUGGUGAUGCAAGUCAUUGGUGCAAAACUCUGGCUCAACCAGAGUAAACCCAGUGAAACUGCAUGACUAGAGUGUGGGAGAGGUAGAAGGAAUUCCCUGAGUAGCGGUGAAAUGUGUAGAUACAGGGAAGAACACCGGAGGCGAAAGCGUUCUACUGGAACACAACUGACAAUGAGAAACGAAAGCUAGGGGAGCGAAUGGG